AGGACAUUGGGGGUUGGGCUGGAGGCUGCCUUAUGAUCAGGUUUUCUCUCCAAGAGCCCAACAGCAGGAGCAAGCAUGAUUUAUCAAUUAACAGGUCACCUGCGCUGUUGAAUUUCAAGCAGGAAUUCUCAUGGAGCAACCAGACAGGAUGUUGGACACAUGUGUUGGCAAGCUUCCCAAGUCACUGGUUGAGCCAAAAAAAGAGUUGGACUGCUUCCACUGCAAUCUUCUAUUCAUGACCUUGAAGAGCCUGCCACUACCUAGAUAAGACCUUCAUAAAUAUGAGGAAAAGAUGAUGCC